GAUGAACGCUGGCGGCGUGCCUAAUACAUGCAAGUCGAGCGAACAGACGAGGAGCUUGCUCCUCUGACGUUAGCGGCGGACGGGUGAGUAACACGUGGAUAACCUACCUAUAAGACUGGGAUAACUUCGGGAAACCGGAGCUAAUACCGGAUAAUAUAUUGAACCGCAUGGUUCAAUAGUGAAAGACGGUUUUGCUGUCACUUAUAGAUGGAUCCGCGCCGCAUUAGCUAGUUGGUAAGGUAACGGCUUACCAAGGCAACGAUGCGUAGCCGACCUGAGAGGUUGUUCGGCCCACCGGAACCUAGGCACCGUCCCAGCUCCUACGGGAGGCAGCCGUAGGGAAUCUUCCCCAAUGGGCCGAAACCUUACGGAGCCACCGCGCCGGGGGGGAGGAGGUCCUCCGAUUCUAAAACCCUGUUAUUAGGGAAGAACAAAUGUGUAAGUAACUAUGCACGUCUUGACGGUACCUAAUCAGAAAGCCACGGCUAACUACGUG
rnacentral:rRNA from 1 species